CGGGGGUGCGCGCGCGCGCGCGGCAGCGGCUUCACUUCUCUCCGGGCAGCGGGGGCAGGAGCGGCGGCGCAGGGAGAAGCGGCGCGGCCGUCGCUGCUGCUCGGGAGAGACGGGAAAGGGGAGAGGAAACCGAGAGCGAGGAGCGCGGGGCAGCGGGCUCAUGACUCAGUGAGCGGCUGCACCCCCUUUCCAGCCCCGCGCCCGGCCGGAGUCGGGGCGCCCGCGACGGAUUGUCCCGCAGCCUGUGCCCGGCACCAGCGAGAGAGGGACCUGCGCUCGCCUGCAGUGCAGCAUCUGCCAUGUCUACAGAGGGGCAGAGAGUGGAUGAUAGCCCAAGCACUAGUGGAGGUAGCUCUGAUGGAGAUCAGCGUGAAGGUGUUCAGCAGGAACAAGAAAGGGAGCAAGUUCAACCAAAGAAAAAAGAGGGGAAAAUAUCAAGCAAAACAGCUGCUAAAUUGUCAACUAGCGCUAAAAGAAUUCAGAAAGAACUUGCAGAAAUUACAUUAGACCCUCCUCCGAACUGUAGUGCUGGACCCAAAGGAGACAACAUUUAUGAAUGGAGGUCAACUAUACUUGGACCUCCAGGGUCUGUAUAUGAAGGUGGAGUUUUCUUCCUUGACAUAACCUUUUCACCGGACUAUCCUUUUAAACCACCCAAGGUCACGUUCCGGACAAGGAUCUACCACUGUAACAUUAACAGCCAAGGCGUCAUCUGCCUGGACAUUUUAAAGGACAACUGGAGUCCAGCGUUAACCAUUUCUAAAGUUCUCCUCUCCAUCUGCUCCCUCCUCACAGACUGUAACCCCGCUGACCCCCUGGUUGGAAGCAUUGCCACUCAGUACAUGACUAACAGAGCAGAGCACGACAGAAUGGCCAGACAGUGGACCAAGCGAUACGCCACAUAGGAACCUCCUCUAGGAUUUGCUGGACCUGUGCAAGCACAUUCACUAAGUGCAUCAAUAGCCCUUCCCUUCAUUCUUAUUUUUUAUUAAAUCUUGAACCAUUUUGUGACAAAAGGUUGUCCUUACUUCCUUUUUUUGUUUGUUUGUUUCAUUUUGGUUUAUUUUUAUUUUUAUUUGUUCUGGGUUUUUUUGUUCUGUUAACUUGAAAGUUGUUUCCCUCAAAUGUAGACAGGGAAUUUUGGUUAUCAGUGCAAAGAAUGUUGGAUCUGUAAUAGUAUAGAGCUUUAUCAGAAAGCUUUGUAUUAAUGUGUGGGGUUUUUUUUUCUUUCAUGUGGUUUUGGGGAAAACAAACAAAUUCAGAAUUAUAUCUCAUUUCUACUUAAAUGUAGUGUUUAGGGUUAUUUUUUUGUACUGAAGUCUUUAAUGGUGGGUGCAUGCUACUGGGAACAAGUUUUGUAUAAAAGCUUAAAAUCAAGAAUCACUGUGCAUUACUAAGACUGUGUUUAUCACUAGCCUUCUGUUUCCCACACAAAAGGCUAUUGCAUUGAACAAAUUAAUAUGUAUUUUGAUUUACUUAAAAAACAAAAAAAAAAGUGCUUGUAAAUUUCUUAGGGACCUGCCACUUUUGACUGUGGAUCAGUUGAUGUACACUUGUAUUAUUAAAGCACUCAAUAAAACACUGUGGCUGAUAAA